rnacentral:rRNA from 1 species
GACGAACGCUGGCGGCGUGCUUAACACAUGCAAGUCGAACGGAAAGGCCCUGCUUUUGUGGGGUGCUCGAGUGGCGAACGGGUGAGUAACACGUGAGUAACCUGCCCUUGACUUUGGGAUAACUUCAGGAAACUGGGGCUAAUACCGGAGAGGAGCUCCUGCUGCAGGGUGGGGGUUGGAAAGUUUCGGCGGUUGGGGAUGGACUCGCGGCUUAUCAGCUUGUUGGUGGGGUAGUGGCUUACCAAGGCUUUGACGGGUAGCCGGCCUGAGAGGGUGACCGGCCACAUUGGGACUGAGAUACGGCCCAGACUCCUACGGGAGGCAGCAGUGGGGAAUCUUGCACAAUGGGCGGAAGCCUGAUGCAGAAACGCCGCGUGCGGGAUGACGGCCUUCGGGUUGUAAACCGCUUUAGCCUGUGACGAAGCGUGAGUGACGGUAAUGGGUAAAGAAGCACCGGCUAACUACGUG